GGAAGAAACCUGACCACGAGUGAGUCCCAUAGGCUUGUUAUCAUUGCCUAAUCUGUGCGAGGGAAAGGAAGGGGCUUCUUCUCCGUGAGGCGUCCCCUUUCGGUUCCCACUUUCCUCCGCUGUUGUUGCGUGAACGUCACAAUCUCGUUCUGCAUUCAUUGCAAGAAAGCAUGAUCCAAACAAUCCUAACUGGUUGAGAGUUGGACUGGCUUUUGGUGCCUCUGCAGCAAUAUGGGCAAUGAUCUACAAGGAGCAUAAUGAUGACAUAGCA